GACGAACGCUGGCGGCGUGCUUAACACAUGCAAGUCGAACGAAGUGGCGAACGGGUGAGUAACGCGUAAUCAACCUGCCCUUCAGGGGGGGACAACAGUUGAAAACGUCUGCUAAUACCGAAUACGGAAGGAGGGGAUUGCGUGUGAUUAGCUAGUUGGAGGGGUAACGGCCCACCAAGGCGAUGAUCAGUAGCCGGUCUGGGAGGAUGAACGGCCACCUUGGGACUGAGACAAGGCCCAGACUUCUACGGGAGGCAGCAGUGGGGAAUCUUCCGAAAUGGACGAAAGUCUGGCGGAGCAACGCCGCGUGAGUGGUGAAGGCCUUCGGGUUGUAAAGCUCUGUUAAUCGGGACGCGGUACCGGAAUAGAAAGCCACGGCUAACUACGUGCCAGCAGCCGCGGUAAUUC
rnacentral:rRNA from 1 species